GACGAACGCUGGCGGCGUGCUUAACACAUGCAAGUCGAACGGAAAGGCCCUGCUUUUGUGGGGUGCUCGAGUGGCGAACGGGUGAGUAACACGUGAGUAACCUGCCCUUGACUUUGGGAUAUCUUCAGGAAACUGGGGCUAAUACCGGAUAGGAGCUCCUGCUGCAUGGUGGGGGUUGGAAAGUUUCGGCGGUUGGGGAUGGACUCGCGGCUUAUCAGCUUGUUGGUGGGGUAGUGGCUUAUCAAGGCUUUGACGGGUAGCCGGCCUGAGAGGGUGACCGGCCACAUUGGGACUGAGAUACGGCCCAGACUCCUACGGGAGGCAGCAGUGGGGAAUAUUGCACAAUGGGCGGAAGCCUGAUGCAGCAACGCCGCGUGCGGGAUGACGGCCUUCGGGUUGUAAACCGCUUUCGCCUGUGACGAAGCGUGAGUGACGGUAAUGGGUAAAGAAGCACCGGCUAACUACGUG
rnacentral:rRNA from 1 species